CUGGGUCUGUGCAUUGUGACAGUAUGCUGGCAAGUGCGGUCGGGCCAUGGGACCCUGGUCUGGUGUGUUCCUGGGACUGAAGAGUAGAGAACCUGCUGGGGAGAAAGAGUCAGAAAGCAGCUAUUGGCUCACUUGUCCUGCCCUGCCCAGCCCAGCCCAGCACCACCCCUGCCCUGGUCCCAGACCUUGUCCAGCCCCAGCACCUCUGCCUCUUUUCCCUUCCUAAAAGUCUGUGUUUCAAUAGAACCCAAAGAAGUCGGUCCCCACGUAGCAAAUGUUUGAGGAAGGGAUUUGAAGUUGGUGAUGCAAAUUAACACAACUAAAAUGCAGAUUAAAUGCUGGGCGCCCUCCUGUGA